rnacentral:lncRNA from 1 species
ACAGAGCUGAACGGUUUUCUGCAGGACACCACUAAGCAGGAGAGAAUGACAAGCUGGAUGAUGAUAUAAAUAUUUGGAAUUAGGACAACAUACAAGAUUAGGGCUGGCCAGCCCCUGGACUAUGCCAUGUGUGCAUAUACAGGCUCCUAGGAUGAACAUCCUCAAAUCCCAACCUCUCUCCCAGAAGCUGUGUCUCUACAGAACUGUGUUGGCCGAGACUGCUCUCAACUGAAUUGGGCCCAGCUCAGAGAGGCAGCUGCUGGGUAUCAACUCAGCUUCCAGAUCAACUCCUAGCCAGAGCCCACGUUCUGAAGUUGCUUGAGUUUGGACUAUCCAGCAGAACACAGAUGCCACAGCAGCGGGCCGGUCACAGAACACUAAGGCUCAUUCAUUUGAAAAAGUUUCCAACUUUUAGCUCAGCAUUUGGUACAUAAAAGACACACCACAAAUAUCUUUUGAGUCG